GUCUACAGCCAUGAGACCCUGCAUGUGUCCGAUCGCAUCUAACCUUGGUAGCUAAGCAGGGUCGGGCCUGGUUAGUACUUCGUUGGGAGACCACCUAGGAAUACCAGGUGUUGUAGGCG
rnacentral:rRNA from 1 species